UCCUCCUUCCUCUUCUCCACUCUGCUCAUCCCUCCUUUCCUUUGUCCACUCUGCUCAUCCCUCAUUCCUCCUUCCUUUUGUCCCCUUUUCUCAUUCCUCCUUUCCUCUUCUCCCCUCUGCUCAUCCCUCCUGCCCUUUGCCCAGCUCAGUGUAUUAUCCACCACCUGCUGCUUUUCUGGGAUGGCUUUUCCGCACGAGUAGACAGAAAGAUCUGUCAGUGUUUCUGUGCUCUGAGGGAAGAUCAAGACCUGAACCUCGAGACUGAAGAGAAAUUAGUGCCAGGGAUGGAUCCCGAAACCUGGCUGAUCCCACAGCACAAUCCAGCUCAUUUCUGAGAGCAUCAACAUGUCCAAAGGCUCCUGAGGCUGAGGAAAGGUGGAAUUUCACUUCAGAGCAGCCAAUACCUGUGUGCUGAGGAAGACACAAAACCCCAGAUGAAAAGGGGCAGGGCUAAAAGUCAUGGGAAGAAGAAAAGAAAAUUUACAAAUGCCAGAUCCAGCGCAUGGGAAUCCUGCCACGAGCAUGGGACAUCCCCACAGUGCCAAAACUGCUGCAGGAAACUGCAGCCACCAGCAAAAACACAGCAACCACGUGCCAAGAGAUUGUUUCAGAAGUGAAACCGCCAGAAGCCAAAUCGCAGUUUUAAGGCACAAUUUACACCAUAAAUAUUUGGGUUUCCAGCAAAAAGGGAGGGAGGAGAAAUCCUGGAAACACGACACUGGAGGCAGAGCAAUCUGCUGGUUUAAUUAACCCACAUGACAGAGGGCAUGAAUUUUUUUUUUCCUCUCACAUUAUUAAACACAAAAAUAUCCAAACUCCUGAGCUGUGGAACGGGAAUGAUUAAAAUCCCAUUACUCCAAGAUUGUUUCUUCCCCAUCCACAGAAAUUCCCAACAUCAACUUGUCCUGUGGAGGAGUCUUGAGCUCCUCAAGUUCAUGGGGAAAACUUCAAUGACCUUCAUAAUCUCAAAGCAUCUCCUAAUCAAAAGUGAUUUCAUUAAACCAGUGGCAAUCUGUCGGCAGCCUGAGAGCCCAGACAGGGAAACACCGGUUAAAACAAAGCUGGCAAAACACAUUAAAAAUUAAUUGACUUCUUGAUUUUUAUCAAAAUUGAAAAAAAGGCUCAAUCCUACACCAAAUGAUACAGCCCCUGAAUGGCAGCAAUUAAAGUUCCUCCUUCCAAUUACAGCUUUUUACAGCAUUUUAAUCAAUUUUUGUACAGCAAAUAAG